UGACCCUCUGGGCAUAGUGGCUUUUAUUAGAUUCAUGACCAUGCUCCCGAAAGGCGGGAGAUUUUGGUGAUUUCAGAAUAACUGCGGAACCCUAGAAGCCAUGAGCUGAGGGUGUAUCUUUCAAGAGUCUGCCCUAUCAACUUUGGAUGGUAGUGUAUCGGACUACCAUGGUUGUAACGGGUAACGGGGAAUCAGGGUUCGAUUCCGGAGAGGGAGCCUGAGAAACAGCUCAGCUACCACAUCUAAGGAAGGCAGCAGGCGCGCAAAUUACCCAAUCCUAGAACGGGGAGGUAGUGACGAAAAAUAACGAUAUGGGGCCAUUUGGUCUUGUGAUUGGAAUGGAAGCGGUUUAAAACCCCGCUUGAGGAUCUAGUGGAGGGCAAGUCUGGUGCCAGCAGCCGCGGUAAUACCAGCCUCCACAAGCAUAUACAAAAGUUGCUGCGUUUAAAAAGCUCGUAGUUGGAUCUGUUAUUCGAGACCCGCACAACUAGCUUCGCCUCUUGGUGGGCUAGGGGUCUUGAUUUCCUUGACGUUGAGAAUGCUUGCGCUUAACUGUGUCGAGUAUUCGAGACGUUA
rnacentral:rRNA from 1 species